rnacentral:rRNA from 1 species
GACGAACGCUGGCGGCGUGCUUAACACAUGCAAGUCGAGCGGUAGGGCCCUUUCGGGGGUACACGAGCGGCGAACGGGUGAGUAACACGUGGGUGACCUGCCCUCAGCUCUGGGAUAAGCCUGGGAAACCGGGUCUAAUACCGGAUAUGACUCCAUGACGCAUGUUGUGGGGUGAAAGCCUUGUGCGGCUGAGGAUGGGCCCGCGGCCUAUCAGCUUGUUGGUGGGGUGAUGGCCUACCAAGGCGACGACGGGUAGCCGGCCUGAGAGGGCGACCGGCCACACUGGGACUGAGACACGGCCCAGACUCCUACGGGAGGCAGCAGUGGGGAAUCUUGCGCAAUGGGCGAAAGCCUGACGCAGCGA